rnacentral:ncRNA from 1 species
GUCUUUGGGUUCUUCUUGCGCAGCUUAGGUGGAAGGCGAAGAAGGCUCCCUUUCACGGGGUCCUGAGCCACCAGUGAGAUACCACUCUGGAAGAGCUAGAAUUCUAACCUUGUGUCAGGACCUAUGGGCCAAGGGAUAGUCUCAGUUAGACAGUUUCUAUGGGGUGUAGGCCUCCCAAAAGGUAAUGGAGGCGUGCAAAGGUUUCCUCGAGCUGGACGGAAAUCGACCCUCAAGUGCAAAGGAAGAAGGGAGCUCGACUGCAAGACCCACCCAUCGAGUAGGGACGAAAGUCAGCCUUAGUGAUCCGACGGUGCCGAGUGGAAGGGCUGUCACUCAACAGAUAAAAGUUACUCUAGGGAUAACAUGCUGAUCUUCCCCAAGAGUUCACAUCGACAGGAAGGUUUGGCACCUCGAUGUCGGCUCUUCACCACCUGGGGUGGUAGUACGUUCCAAGGGUUGGAUUGUUCUCCCAUUAAAGCGGUACGUGAGCUGGGUUUAGAAUGUCGUGAGACAGUUCGAUCCAUAUCCGGUGUGAGCAUUAGAGCAUUUAGAGGACCUUUCCCUAGUACGAGAGGACUGGGAAGGACACACCUCUGGUGUACCAGUUAUCGUGCCCAUGGUAGAUGCUGGGUAGCCAAGUGCAGAGCGAAUAACUACUGAAAGCAUAUAAGUAGGAAUCCCACCCCAAGAUGAGUUCUCUCCUAUUCUUACUUCCCUGAGAGCCCUAGUCAUGAACACAGCUGGGGCAACGACGGGUUCUCUAUCCUUGCAGGGGAUGGAGCGACAAAAGUAUUGAGAAUCCAAGAUAAGGUCACGGCGAGACGAGCCAUUUAUCAUUACGAUAGGUUUCAAGUGGAAGCGCAGUGAUGUAUGCAGCUGAGGCAUCCUAACAGACCGAGCGAUUUGAACCU